rnacentral:rRNA from 1 species
UAGUCCUACGGGGCGCAGCAGUGAGGAAUAUUGGUCAAUGGGCGGGAGCCUGAACCAGCCAAGUCGCGUGAAGGAAGAAGGUACUUAGUAUUGUAAACUUCUUUUGUCGGGGAACAAAGGCGGAGACGCGUCUCCGGAUGAGUGUACCCGAAGAAAAAGCAUCGGCUAACUCCGUGCCAGCAGCCGCGGUAAUACGGAGGAUGCGAGCGUUAUCCGGAUUUAUUGGGUUUAAAGGGGGCGUAGACGGUUCUGCAAGUCUGAAGUGAAAGCCCGUGGCUUAACCGCGGAACGGCUUUGGAAACUGG